rnacentral:lncRNA from 1 species
GCCUGCUGGACCACAGGGCGAGGCCAGGCCCAGAGCCCAAGAGCAAGGACACAGAGGAUCUAGCCCUGGGAGAGUACGUGCCCACUGGACUGGAGCUAGCGGCCCUGUGGCCUGAGAGGCCGUUGCCUGCCCAGAAGAGCGGCCCUGAUGGGUACUUCAGUGCCAACUAGAGUAAACAACACCUCGGAGGAGGAGGACUAUGACGAGGGGCUGCCCGAAGAGGAGGAGGGCAUCACCUGUUACAUCCGCUACUGCCCCAAGGACAACGGCUACCUGCAGGGGACGGACUGCAAUAGGCAGGGCUACCUGGCUCACGACACACGCCACCUGGAGAUGGAUGAGUGCCAGGAGGUGGUAGAGGAGUGGACGGAGCCAGGGCCAGUGACUCCCCAGAGGUCUGCCUACUUGCCAAGUUUGGCCACAGCCCCAGCAGACACAAAGGCAGUCCCAAGUUGCUGAACCUCCCUCCUGAGGCCAAGCACCCUGCCAAUGCCCAGAGGAGCUUCAAGACCAAGAGCAGGACCCUGGAGGAGAGGCCUAAGUGGCCCCAAGAGGAGGACACUGGGCUGCACUCUGAGAAGUUCCUGGAUCUCCCCUGCACCAGAUCAUCAUGGCCAGAGAAAUUGGUUCACCUUCCCUGGGGUUCCUGGAGACUCCUCAGGUGGCUACCUGUCGACCGUCCCUCCUCGGCAGAGACCAGACCUGCCGCUCGUCUCCCAGCCCUGCGCCUGGCGUGUGUUUUGUCAACACCUCAGUGCAACAAGAAAGGACCGAGCCUGCAAGAACCAAGGUGAGGUUACUGCUGUGCUCUCCUUCCCGUCGACUCUCUCCUCCGAAGAGAGCAGAGAUGCCCCUCGUCUUCCAGCCCAGCUCUCCGUUGUUUCUCAACACCUCAGCGGGACAGAGCCUGCCAGAACCGAGGCAGAUGCUCAGCUCAUGUGUGUAUAUUGGGCCUCUGGAGAGAUGCUCGGCUUGUGUGGAGAUGAGGCCUCUAGGCAGAUGCUCAGCUCGUGGGUGACUAUGAAGCCAGACUGUUUAAUUCUGAGCCAUUCAGGGACUUUGUUCUUCUGA